rnacentral:lncRNA from 1 species
GCCGCCGUCAGCUGACUGCGGCCGGCAGCCCGCACCGCCCGCACGGCCCGGCCCCGAGCCACGGUGACUGCGGAAGCCCCGCUGCGGCCGCUCCCCCCUCGCCCUCCCGCCCCCUUCUCCCCGGCCAUGGCAGGGGUCGUGGUGAGCGGAGCACAAGUGUCCUACAUUAGUCAAGACUGUGAAGAAAUUCCAGAAUUUCUGGGAAGAAAAUACGGACAUAUGGCAAAAAGACUAGAUCUUAGCUUCAACUUGUUAAGGUGUCUUCUCUCACUUGAUAUCAUGGUACCUGCCAACUGUCUGUUUCUACAGCACCUAAAUGUACCUUCGGCUUCUCUUUAAAUAAAUAGGACAGUUAACUGCUUUCAAUACAUCAUUGUGGGACUUCUUCUCAAAUAUGCAAGCUUAUUGCAAAUCCUUUGUAUGUGGUACAUCUGCUAUCCACUUGAUAUGUCAGAAGAGUUCAUGUUGAGGAAAAGUAUAUGCAUACGUGAAGAGUGGAGAGGGAUGAAAAUUAGUAUGUUGCUGUUCUCUCCUUGUUACAGCUGAUAGGUCUAAUACAAAAAAAGAAGUGCAUGCUACAGUCAUGAACUCUAAAAUAACAAGGCUCGGGAGUUUUUAUGUUGCAUAAGCAGACAAGUGAAAUGUAUUUUAUGUUCCUGUGGAGCAGAAAAGUAAAUACUGUGAUAUUUAUUAUAGCUUCUCUAUUGAUAAGUCCUAUCAGUAAUAAAAGUCUCAAAGUUAAUUAAACUUAAGCUUUAUGUUAAAGGCACUGUCUUAUUUUUUGUUAUUUCUCAAAAAUGCUUCAUCAACCAUCAUAGUCUGUAAAGUGUCUUCCAUGCAUUAAUCAAAGAGACUGCUGUAGGAAACUUUAAUCAGAAUAAAUACCAGUUUAUACUUUGUAAACAAAUAAUUAGUUGGCUAAGAAGAAACAAAAAACAUUUCAUCCUUCCAUUUAAUGAAAGCCAAAAAGGGACAAAAACAGAGAAGGGGGAAUGCUCAUCUGUGUUAUUAAUAUAUGGCUUACUUACAAUUCAUGACUUCUGUCACACGGUGCCAUCCUUCUAAUCAAUGGUCUGAAUGUCUUUCUGGAAUAGAUUGGAUUAAUCUUUGUUUUAAAUGCAAACAAAUGUAUUUACUCCAGCAGAGAUGAAAUAAAAAGACAGCUAAAGAAAUUAAUGCUUGGAAAUAGUAGAGGAGUUUUAUAUUGUCAUUUGCUUUGCUUUUUUUAAAUGCUUCGUGAGGCUUUGUCAUUGCAUGACUCCUACAGGAGGGUGGUGGUGCAUUAUGUGAAGACAAAUGUCUUGGGAACAAAAGGGCCCUUUUCUGCCAAAGCUGGAAGAUGGUUCUGGCUCUUCAUUUUUUUUUCCACCUUCAAAGAAGUCCAAGAAAACUGCUGACACUUACAGAAGAGGAAAAUAUGAUUUAUGAUGACAUCAUGUAUUACCCAAGCAAAUCUGUUUCGAGGAAGAUUGUUUUUUUUUCUGGUGUGUUGUAAUAAAGAAACAGUGAAUCAUUCUUGAAGGAGUAUUGGUUCAGAUUCUUCUCCCUCUAUUGCUUCCACCCCACCCCCACUUUUCCCAGUUUUAUGAUUCUUUAGGGGUCUUAAUAUUGAUGUUAGC